GAUCAGACUCGAUAUCAUCGAGAUGGAAUUCAUCCCAUUGAAUUUAGAGGCGAAAGAUUUUUUAUUUAUUAUCUCUAUGGGAUUAAAUCCCGAGUUAUUACGAAGUAAAGAAAAAGAAACGAUGAGAUUGUGAAAGUAAAUAUUCUUGCGUUUAUUGCUACUGCCCUGUUCAUUCUAGUUCCUACUGCUUUUUUACUUAUAAUUUACGUAAAAACGGUUAGUCAAAGUGAUUAAUUUGAAUGAAACUUGACUUCUUUCACUUCUUAGUUCUUAUCAAUGAUUGAAGAAAAAAAAUGAAAAGGAUUCCUUUUUUUAGUCUUAAAUGAAAUGAGCAUACUAGAAUUAGCAGUAUUCUAUGAGAUCCGAUAAUAUGAUAGAAAGAAAUCUAUUUCUUUCUAUCAUACUAUCUAUUUUUUUUAUUCUAGUGUAUAUAGUUGUACUAUAUAAAGAUAUAGGCUUAAUCUAGAUAUAAAUUAAUCUAUAUCUAUAAUAUCAUCUCAUAUUCAUAUGUCUAGAUAUCAAUUAUCUAUAUGGAAUGUCCAUAACGUCCCAAUUCUAUUUCUUCAUCUAUUUGAUUUGUGUUGAUUCCAAUUAAUGUCGAAAGGCAACUCUUACUCUUACUUUUAGGAUUCUAAUUCCUAGAUUUCUGAUUAUUUAAAAUAUGAAUCCUACCAUGUACCGAAACAAUAAAAUNNNAUAUAUGCCCCCCCCCCCCCUUUUUUCUGUUCAAAGAGAAACGAAAGCAGUUCUUUUAUUAGUUAUUAAAAGUGAUUAAAUUAAGUGAAUUUUUUAUAGAAAAUAAGAUAGACAUAGUAGUUCUCCAAUGAGAUACUACGCAUACUAAGAUAUUUUCUUGCUUAGUGCUUAGUUUAGUAUUUGUUUUAUUAUUUUAGAGAAAAUGGAUUUGUGCUAUACCUUAUUGAUUUGACUCAUUUCAUAUUAUGAUUCAAAGGUUCAAAAUCGGCAGGGUUUACUAAUCCUUUUCAUUGAAAUCUGAAAAAGUUUUUUUAUAGAAUUCCUUUUGAUUGAUUUUAUUAUUUCGGUACAUGGUAGGAUUCAUAUUUUAAAUAAUCAGAAAUCUAGGAAUUAGAAUCCUAAAAGUAAGAGUAAGAGUUGCCUUUCGACAUUAAUUGAAAUCAACACAAAUCAAAUAGAUGAAGAAAUAGAAUUGGGACGUUAUGGAUAUUCCAUAUAGAUAAUUGAUAUCUAGACAUAUGAAUAUGAGAUGAUAUUAUAGAUAUAGAUUAAUUUAUAUCUAGAUUAAGCCUAUAUCUUUAUAUAGUACAACUGUAUACACUAGAAUAAAAAAAAACGGAUAGUAUGAUAGAAAGAAAU
rnacentral:lncRNA from 1 species